rnacentral:rRNA from 1 species
UACGAGGGGGCGAGCGUUGUUCGGAAUUAUUGGGCGUAAAGGGUGCGUAGGCGGCCUGACAAGUCUGAUGUGGAAAUCCCUGGGCUCAACCCAGGCCUGCAUCGGAAACUGUCGGCUUGAGUAUGGGAGAGGUGAGUGGAAUUCCGGUGUAGCGGUGAAAUGCGUAGAUAUCGGAAGGAACACCUGUGGCGAAAGCGGCUCACUGGACCAUUACUGACGCUGAGGCACGGAAAGCUAAGGGAGCAAA